rfam:Ricinus communis cultivar Hale ctg_1100012351021, whole genome shotgun sequence.
AAACCAUGGUAUGGACAGCUCCUCAGUAAAUCCUUGAAACAUUCCCAACAAUCGUAUAAAGUCUCGCUCUCUUAUUAGAGAAACCUUGCUAUAUCAUUACUCAACUU